rnacentral:rRNA from 1 species
UACAGAGGUGGCAAGCGUUGUUCGGAAUUACUGGGCGUAAAGGGCGCGUAGGCGGCCUUCUAAGUCAGACGUGAAAUCCCCCGGCUUAACCGAGGAACUGCCUGUCAGACUGGAUGGCUUGAGACCGGGAGAGGUGAGUGGAAUUCCCAGUGUAGCGGUGAAAUGCGUAGAUAUUGGGAGGAACACCAGUGGCGAAGGCGGCUCACUGGACCGGAACUGACGCUGAGGCGCGAAAGCGUGGGGAGCAAACAGG